rnacentral:rRNA from 1 species
AACGCGUGAGCAACCUGCCUUUCAGAGGGGGAUAACGUUUGGAAACGAACGCUAAUACCGCAUGAAGUAUCUUUGCUGCAUGACAGAGAUACCAAAGGAGCAAUCCGCUGAAAGAUGGGCUCGCGUCCGAUUAGAUAGUUGGUGGGGUAACGGCCUACCAAGUCGACGAUCGGUAGCCGGACUGAGAGGUUGAACGGCCACAUUGGGACUGAGACACGGCCCAGACUCCUACGGGAGGCAGCAGUGGGGAAUAUUGCACAAUGGGCGAAAGCCUGAUGCAGCAACGCCGCGUGAGGGAAGACGGUUUUCGGAUUGUAAACCUUUGUCCUUGGUGAAGAUCAUGACGGUAGCCGAGGAGGAAGCCACGGCUAACUACGUGCCAGCAGCAGC